rnacentral:rRNA from 1 species
AUUGAACGCUGGCGGCAUGCCUAACACAUGCAAGUCGAACGAGUGGCGGACGGGUGAGUAAUGUCUGGGGACCUGCCUGAUGGAGGGGGAUAACUACUGGAAACGGUAGCUAAUACCGCAUACCAUCAGAUGUGCCCAGAUGGGAUUAGCUUGUUGGUGGGGUAACGGCUCACCAAGGCGACGAUCCCUAGCUGGUCUGAGAGGAUGACCAGCCACACUGGAACUGAGACACGGCCCAGACUCCUACGGGAGGCAGCAGUGGGGAAUCUUGGACAAUGGGCGAAAGCCUGAUGCAGCCAUGCCGCGUGUAUGAAGAAGGCCUUCGGGUUGUAAAAUACUUUUGGCAGGGAGGCGGUACCUGAAGAGGAAGCAACGGCUAACUACGUGCCAGCAGCCGCGGUAAUUC